UGGAAUCAUAGAUGUUGCCCUGG
rnacentral:piRNA from 1 species